AGUGAACGCUGGCGGUAGGCCUAACACAUGCAAGUCGAACGGCAGCACAGUAAGAGCUUGCUCUUACGGGUGGCGAGUGGCGGACGGGUGAGGAAUACAUCGGAAUCUACUUUUUCGUGGGGGAUAACGUAGGGAAACUUACGCUAAUACCGCAUACGACCUACGGGUGAAAGCAGGGGAUCUUCGGACCUUGCGCGAUUGAAUGAGCCGAUGUCGGAUUAGCUAGUUGGCGGGGUAAAGGCCCACCAAGGCGACGAUCCGUAGCUGGUCUGAGAGGAUGAUCAGCCACACUGGAACUGAGACACGGUCCAGACUCCUACGGGAGGCAGCAGUGGGGAACAUUGGACAAUGGGCGCAAGCCUGAUCCAGCCAUACCGCGUGGGUGAAGAAGGCCUUCGGGUUGUAAAGCCCUUUUGUUGGGAAAGAAAAGCAGCAGGUUAAUACCCCGCUGUUCUGACGGUACCCAAAGAAUAAGCACCGGCUAACUUCGUG
rnacentral:rRNA from 1 species